GACGGGGACCCGCACAAGCAGCGGAGCGUGUGGUUUAAUUCGUUGCUACACGAAGAACCUUACCUGGGUUUGACAUAUAGGUUGUAGGGAACUGAAAAGGGACCGACCUUCGGGAGCCUAUACAGGUGUUGCAUGGCUGUCGUCAGCUCGUGUCGUGAGAUGUUCGGUUAAGUCCGCUAACGAGCGCAACCCUCGUCGUAUGUUAUAUGUGUCAUACGAGACUGCCGGUAAAAGCCGGAGGAAGGUGAGGAUGAUGUCAAGUCAGCAUGACCUUUAUAUCCAGGGCUACACACACGCUACAAUGGUCUGUACAAUGGGUAGCCAAGCCGCGAGGCGGAGCCAAUCCUGAAAGCAGGCCUCAGUUCAGAUUGCAGUCUGCAACUCGACUGCAUGAAGCCGGAGUUGCUAGUAACCGCAGGUCAGCAAUACUGCGGUGAAUACGUUCCCGGGUCUU
rnacentral:rRNA from 1 species